UCCGUAGGUGGAUGAUUAAGUCAGAGGUGAAAUCCUGCAGCUCAACUGUAGAAUUGCCUUUGAAACCGGUCAUCUUGAGUUAUUAUGAAGUAGUUAGAAUAUGUAGUGUAGCGGUGAAAUGCAUAGAUAUUACAUAGAAUACCAAUUGCGAAGGCAGAUUACUAAUAAUAUACUGACACUGAUGGACGAAAGCGUGGGGAGCGAACAGGAUUAGAUACCCUGGUAGUCC
rnacentral:rRNA from 1 species